rnacentral:misc_RNA from 1 species
UCCGGUUUGUCACCGGCAGUCUCGUUAAAGUGCCCAUCAUCACAUGCUGGCAAUUAACAACAAGGGUUGCGCUCGUUGCGGGACUUAACCCAACAUCUCACGACACGAGCUGACGACAGCCAUGCAGCACCUGUGUGACCAUUCUCUUGCGAGCACUUCCACAUCUCUGCAGAAUUUGAUCCAUGUCAAGGGUAGGUAAGGUUUUUCGCGUUGCAUCGAAUUAAUCCACAUCAUCCACCGCUUGUGCGGGUCCCCGUCAAUUCCUUUGAGUUUUAAUCUUGCGACCGUACUCCCCAGGCGGUCGACUUCAUGCGUUAGCUGCGUUACUAAGACUAUUUAAGUCCCAACAACUAGUCGACAUCGUUUAGGGCGUGGACUAC